GGCCACCGCUCCUCUCCUUUGGCUUUUUCUCUCUCGCACGCCAAGCUGCUUCUCUUCCUCUUUCGUGCGACGAGCUCCUUCUCUCUCGGCCAAGUCUUGCUUUUGCUUCUUUUUAAUCUUCCUUCGAAGACUGCCAGCCGUCCUCCUUCAGUCUCUGCCGCCUGCUCCACUCCAUCCGCACGAAGCCUUCCACCGAGGCUGACUUCAUGUUCUGUUGACCGAAGCAGCUCGACGCCAGCAGCUACUUCUUCUGCCACGUGAAAUUCAGCCGAUCGAAGCCAGCUCAGCCAUUUCGACUUCACGAGCAGUAGUUCGGCCAGCAAAGUCUUCCCACGUGAAGCCGCCCACCGAUUUUCCUCUGCCACGUCCAAGCUGCCACGCUUUUGUUUUCAUCUCCACCGGUCAACAAUCCUCUCCACCCAGCUCUUUGGUUGACCCUGCAGUUGCCCGUUUGUUCAUCGAGCAGCCAACAAAGCCCACAUCUCCUCUGGCUGUCCACGAAGACCGAAGCUGCCCCGAUUUCUUCAAUUUUCCUCAACUGAAGCAGUCGAGCAGUCCAGCGCCUUCGUCCAACGAUCCGCCGAGGCUGCUGCCGUUCGUCCAUCCCCACACGGCCCGCAAUCUAGCGAGUCUUCAUCCUCCAGCUCACGUGAAUUUUUAGCCCAGCAGUUGGGUCCAUCUCCAGCAACUUCAGCAAGCCCAUUUCAGUGAAGUUCAGUCCAGCAGCCCAGUUUUUGAGGCCCGCUUCAGCUUGGUCCAUUUAAGUUGUAGCCCAUUUUCAGUCUUGAAGUUCAGCCCAUCUUGGGCCCGUGAAGCAAGUCAGCCCAAGUUCGGCCCAAGCCCAGCAAUUUGCUGUAGGCUUGCAAGGCCUUUGGGCCCGGCCCAAGUGAUCGUCGACAUCGCCGAAAAUUCGGAUUUUGGCCGCCAUCGCGCCGUCGCGUCGCCAUCGCGGUGUUCCGGUCUUUGCUUUGCCAAGCCUGUAGAUGAGUCUGUGAAGAAGGAACCAGAAGAGGACAAUGAGCUGGUAAAAGAUGAAGAGCUUGAAGGAUGUGAGCUUAGUGAAGAAGAGUCAGAAGAGGAUUAGGAUGAUCCUGCGUACGACCCGGAUGAGGAUUGAGAUCUCAUCCUCUUUUGUGAACCUUGUGUUGUGUAUAUAGAGUGUGACUAGAAUGUUAUGAAUAGUCUUGUGAAUAGACUUUGAGUUAUGUCAUGUAUAAAGGUUUGGUUGUGGAUUUUAAUAUGAAAAAUAUGGCAUUGCUUUUCUA